rnacentral:rRNA from 1 species
UCUGUAGGCGGCGGGGUGAGUCAGAUGUGAAAUCCCGGGGCUCAACCCCGGAACUGCAUCCGAUACUGCCUUGCUAGAGUAUUGGAGGGGAGUCUGGAAUUCUCGGUGUAGCAGUGAAAUGCGUAGAUAUCGAGAGGAACACUAGUGGCGAAGGCGAGACUCUGGACAAUUACUGACGCUGAGAGACGAAGGCCAGGGAGCGAAAA